rnacentral:rRNA from 1 species
CCAUUUAAAGUGGUACGCGAGCUGGGUUCAGAACGUCGUGAGACAGUUCGGUCCCUAUCUGCCGUGGGCGUUGGAUGAUUGAAGGGAGUUGCUCCUAGUACGAGAGGACCGGAGUGAACGAACCUCUGGUGUUCGGGUUGUCACGCCAGUGGCACUGCCCGGUAGCUAAGUUCGGAAUCGAUAACCGCUGAAAGCAUCUAAGCGGGAAGCGAGCCCUGAGAUGAGUCAUCCCUGACCCCUUGAGGGUCCUAAAGGGCCGUUGGAGACCACAACGUUGAUAGGUGGGGUGUGUAAGCGCGGCGACGUGUUGAGCUAACCCAUACUAAUUACCCGUGAGGCUUAACCAUACAACACCCAAGAAGUGUUCU